rnacentral:rRNA from 1 species
GUCCUUGCCUUAAACUAUGUAUACUUGGUGUAGAAAGGCUCAACCCUUUUGUACCGUAGCUAACGCGAUAAGUAUACCGCCUGGGGAGGUACGCUCGCAAGGGUAAAACUACAAAGAAUUGACGGGGACCCGCACAAGCAGUGGAGCAUGUGGUUUAAUUCGAUGCAACGCGAAGAACCUUACCUGGACUUGACAUGCUUUUGACCGCUGUAGAAAUACAGUUUUCUCGCAAGAGACAGAAGCACAGGUGCUGCAUGGCUGUCGU